rnacentral:misc_RNA from 1 species
UCCAGUUUGUCACUGGCAGUCUCGCUAGAGUCCUCAACUUAAUGGUAGUAACUAACGACAAGGGUUGCGCUCGUUGCGGGACUUAACCCAACAUCUCACGACACGAGCUGACGACAACCAUGCACCACCUGUCUAAGAUGUCCCGAAGGAAAGGUAUAUCUCUAUACCGGUCAUCUCGAUGUCAAGGCCUGGUAAGGUUCUUCGCGUUGCGUCGAAUUAAACCACAUGCUCCACCGCUUGUGCGGGUCCCCGUCAAUUCCUUUGAGUUUCAGUCUUGCGACCGUACUUCCCAGGCGGAGUACUUAUUGCGUUAACUUCAGCACCGAGGUUUCCCCCAACACUUAGUACUCAUCGUUUACGGCGUGGACUAC